GAAAAGUGAUAUCAGACUCUUCAUCACUUCCAACCUCAGGGUCCAUAAGGACUUCAUCAUUUCGGGUCUCACUAGCAUUGGCCUUUUCUCUAGUACCAGUGCCUAUAAGUUCUUGGAAGAGAGAAUGGUCAAUCAUGAUAUUCCUAGCAGACCUGACAUUCCUAAAAUUUGGAAGUUGCCCAUUCCUAAUAAAUUCAAGUUUU
rnacentral:lncRNA from 1 species